AUAUUUACGUAUUUAUAUCUACGUAUGUAUAUCUACGUAUGUAUACCUACGUAUGUAUAUAUACUUAUGUUUAUAUAUAUACAUAUAUGCGUUUUUUUGUUUGAUUUUUUUUCGUUUUUAGACGUAGAAGAUAUAAUAUACAUAUCCGAUGACUCUAAUGAUAGUCCGAUUAAUUUAGUUAUUUCAGACAAGUUAGACAUGCUAAACAAUCAAGACAUAUUAAACAAUACAGGAAUGUUAAAUGAUAUAAACGAGUCAGCUAAUUUGUUCGAAAAUUUUGAAAUAGGAAGUCCUAGUAAAAGUAAACAUGAGUCUCCAAUGAAAAUGAAACAUAUUGCAGAUGAUAAUAGACAUGUAGAUAAUUCAAUAUUGUUAAAUCAUAAACCCACUUUACCCUUAAAUCUUUUAGAUUUCAGUGUACAUACAACUUUUUGUGAUGCAUUUGUAGGAGCUUUAAUGGGUAUAAAUAAUCCAAAAUUUAAUGCAAAAAAUUGUACCUGUAGUAAAAAUAAAUCUCACAAUACCCAUAUGCUUAAUAAAAGUAAUAAUAAUAAUAAUAAUGAUAAGUGCCUAUACGAUCUCCUUAAAUUUAUUGAUAGUAAGAACAAUUGUACUAACAUUUGUAAUAUUGCUACCAAUACUAACUUGAAUCCUCUCAGUCAUAUUUGUAGUACGCUUAACAAUAACCAUCGUACCAUAAAUGACAAUUAUAAUACUGUCAACAAUAUAUCUAGUGCUAUAUAUAAUAAUGCUAGUAUUCUUAAUAACAAUCUUAAUAUUAUUAAUGAUAAUUUUAACACUAAAAGUUAUAUCAAUGCUUUUGAUAACAACAACAUUAGUACUGACAGUAAUAUUAUUGUAUCUGGUACUGAUACUACUACGACUGCUAAUAAAAAUAAGAGUACUAUCGAUUUUAAUAAUACAAAUACAACUAUUCAUAAAAGUACGACUGUUUUUCACAGUAUGAAUGCACCUGCAAACAGUGGGAAUGAUAAUGUAAGGACUAAAGAUAAUACAAUCAUACCGACUAAAGAGAAUACAAUCAUACCGACUAAAGAGAAUACAAUCAUACCGAUUAAAGAGAAUACGAUCACACUGACUAAAGAGAAUACAAUCACAUCGACUAAAGAGAAUACAAUCACAUCGAAUAAAGAGAAUACAGUCACGCCGACUAAAGAGAAUACAAUCACGCCGACUAAAGAGAAUACAGUCACGCCGACUAAAGAGAAUACAAUCACAACGACUAAAGAGAAUACAGUCACGCCGACUAAAGAGAAUACAAUCACACCGACUAAAGAUAAUACGAUCACACCGACUAAAGAUAAUACGAUCACACCGACUGAAGAUAAUACAUUCACACCGACUGAAGAUAAUACAUUCACACCGACUGAAGAUAAUACAUUCACACCGACUGAAGAUUAUACAAUCACGCCAAUUAAAGAGAAUACAAUCAUAUCGACUAGUGAAAAUACAAUAAUAAGUAGCAAUGUCGAUGUGGUUGCUAAUAGUGAUAAUAAUGAUGGUAAUAACGAUAGUAAUAAUAGUUAUAAUAAAGGGGUUGUUUAUAAUGAACUUUCUGCUAAUAAUUAUAAUAACGCAGACUGUUUUUCCAAAUUUAAAUGUUUUUUUAAUAAUACUGUUUGCUCAUUAAGUGCAAUAAAUAAAUGUAUGCAAAAUUAUAUUUCUCCAUGCACGCCUAAUAAUGCUAUAUUAAAAAAUAUGAUUAUGCCAAAUGUAGAAAAUGUGGAAAAUAUGGGAAAUAUAUGUGACUUAUCAAUAGAAAAUAAUCAUUAUUUUGAUGGAAUUAAUGUACCAACUUUAUACGAACAUUCUUUUAAAAAUAAUAAAAAAAUAAUUAAUAAUAAGCAUAACAAUUAUAAUAAUUAUCAUAAAAAUCAUGACUGUAAUGACUGUAAAGAAUGUUGCAAACUAAUUUAUAAUGAUGAUAAUGCAGGUAGUGUUAACUAUUGUGAUAAUAGUAUAGACUUUAUUAGUUGUGAUGACUCAGAUAUGAAUAAUAGUUGUAAUAUAAACUCUAAUCAUAUUAGUACUACCCCGAAUCGUGAUAGUACUAAUCCCAGCAGCGACAGUGCUAAACAGAUGAAUAGUUGUAACAAUAAAAAUAAAAAUGAAAAACUUAUGCAGAACAAUAACCCUGAAUUAAAUAAAAUCAAUUCUACUGUUACUAAUAAAAAUAAUAAUUUUUAUCAUGAUGAAAAUGAUCCUAUUAUGAAUGUAAAUACAGAAUUAAUUAAAUUUAUUACUAACAAUAACCUGAAUAUAAAUGUAACAAACAAUUGCAACUAUAACUAUGAUCUAGAAAAAUAUGCAAUAAAAGAAAAAAGAAAAUUAAAUGAUUAUGAAGACAUAACUGAAUUUAGUAAUGCGCUUACCGAUUAUAUCAUUCCAAGCGCAAACAGUAUGGUUAGUUCAAACUUUGUUC
ensembl:lncRNA